GGCAAGAUGGCCGAGCGGUCUAUGGCGGUAGAUUCAAGAGGAGAUCUCUUGUUCUCUUUGAAGAGAAUCCUACUCCCGAAGGGGGCCGGGGUUCGAAUCCCCGUCUUGUCA
rnacentral:tRNA from 1 species